rnacentral:lncRNA from 1 species
UAUUCCUUCAAUGCCUAAUUUUUAUGAAACUGAUGAGACUAAGUUUCUAGUCUCAUAAGUCAUCAAAUCUAGUGUCAUGAGCAGAGAGGUUGUUGAGAUGUAUGUGGCAAGGACAAAGGACAGCUCUUCAACAAUUGCCCUUCCUGUUUUUCCUGUAGGAAUCGUAACAUCAUUUACAUGUUAUAUCGAAAUGGGCCAUGUGUGUGUAGCUGGCCUUUUUUUUCCUACCAUGUACUUGUGUGUUCUGGAAUCAGUCAGCUAGAAAAUAUUUACCAAGUGUCUUAGGCUUUUUCACUGUAGUGUGCAUUUAACGUACACAGUAAAGAAUGAAGGCUGGCACUAAACUGUUAGCUAAUCAUCCGGUGUUCCAUGUGAAUGACAGAACACGGAAUAAACCUGAUGACACCACCACUUUAUUUUGAGCUAAAUCCUCAUUUAAGUGAGAACAGGACAGGUUUCACCACUGCCUCCUUUGGCAACUUGAGUGGUGGUGUUCCCACCGAGUUUAUGGCUGCAAAGAUAGGUCUUUUCUCGUAUUUAUGUAUAAACAGGUACCAGUUUUGAUUUUAUUUAAUCAUUUCAUACAUUAACAUACAUGACACAUCAAAAUGAGAAAUGCACAGUUUAACCGUUCAACAGCUGGCCUUACUUCAAAAGAACACUAUAUUCAUAUUAAACAUUUACAGUCUUUCCAUCUAACUUUACACAUGUCCUAAAUCAUUUUCCAGCACUUCUCACAUAGAAGUCUAGUUUUGCUCUUUAAAAUCACCAUCUGUAUCACCCCUAGUAGACGCGAGGGUUUCCCCAAUUACAUGCUGAAGAGAGCCAGCCACCACCCCACCUAAAGACAUCCAAGCAGCUCCAGAGCCUGCCUCCGAGGCCACCCCUUCGCCACGGCAGUCUCGAUUCCAAGAACUGAUUAUCUGACACUAGUGAACCAGCACUAAAGGCUGUAGGAUGUGACUACAUCACAGUUCCAGAAGGAAGGGGGACCAUGGCCAAGAGAAGCCCUAAAUGACAGAAGCUCAUUAAAACCAAGUCCCCCAAACCUCCUGAAACAUCGUUAGCAAGGAGCUACUGCUUUCCUUUCUUAAACAUGUUUUGGGCAUGACCACACUCUGGAAGUGGUGAACUGUUACACAUUUGGUGUGUGUGUACAUAACAUCAAAAACUACUGUGUGAAACUUGAGAAUGUCUGAUUAAAGAUUUCAAUGUAUAUCUAAAAACUAACUCAAAUCGUUGACCAGCACUUUCCCAGUAUCAUAACAAUGCGGCUGACCCUCUUCUGCCUUCACUUUACACCCCAUCAUAGCACAUUAUUUGUGCACAACUAGUGAGGUCUGUGCGGCUCAUCAUCCCCAUAACCAAGUCGGUCUGUGUUGAGUCAUAUCAUUCUGUGCUGGUUUUAGAAGUCACCAUAGGAAACAUGAAGUCACAUCCUGGUCAAAAAACUGUCCAUUUCUCAAAAACAGAGAAAAACCUGAGAUACGAGGCAGCAACUAGCGACACUUACAGGAAGGGAAAGAACAAUGACAACACCCGCCCAGCCCCACCCCCAAAAAGCUGCUGUUGUGAAUUAAGGCUUCAAAAGAGGACCCACAUUGUAGCUGAUAAAACUCAAGCCAGGAGGAUGUUUGAAAGCCAAUCUGCACUAUCACUUGUUCCAGUGACCUCCUAUGUUCAGCUGCCAGGACCGAUUCCAUACAGUGAUUGUAGGUUGAGGACUGAGGACGCCCCUUUGCUCUCGCUCCAUUUUGAUUUGCUUUUUCCACUGAAGACACGCCGGCCAGCGUUUCCAAAAACAGCUUGGCCAUGGCUUUGCACUCUAUUCACAACUGAUCAAAACUCAAUGGUCUUCUCAGCUUUCUCAACCGUUUUAUUCUGAAUAUUCCUUCCUCACUAAAGCCUCUCUCAGCCCUACUAGUAAAUGUGAAAGUCUGAGGCAAUCAUAGAAACAUCAGCCCCAUCGCAUGCCGAGGGGAUAAAAGCCACUAAGGAAACAGGUUUCCUGCUUCUCCUCAGCAAUUUGUACCUUUCUUAAUCUUCCCAUAAUUUACCUCCCUAGGAAGUUUCCUAUAAAAUUCUGCCAUAUUAUUACAUUUUACCAACUGUAUCCAUGCAGUGAAGCAGAAAGGGCAAAAACAUCUGCUUUGGCUGAGAAUUUGAAGGUGCUGCUGCUCUGCUACCAACCCAAAUAAAUUCACAUUUGGCUUG